AUCCGGGUUGCGGACAGUGUCUGGUGGGUAGUUUGACUGGGGCGGUCUCCUCCUAAAGAGUAACGGAGGAGCACGAAGGUUGGCUAAUCCUGGUCGGACAUCAGGAGGUUAGUGCAAUGGCAUAAGCCAGCUUGACUGCGAGCGUGACGGCGCGAGCAGGUGCGAAAGCAGGUCAUAGUGAUCCGGUGGUUCUGAAUGGAAGGGCCAUCGCUCAACGGAUAAAAGGUACUCCGGGGAUAACAGGCUGAUACCGCCCAAGAGUUCAUAUCGACGGCGGUGUUUGGCACCUCGAUGUCGGCUCAUCACAUCCUGGGGCUGAAGUAGGUCCCAAGGGUAUGGCUGUUCGCCAUUUAAAGUGGUACGCGAGCUGGGUUUAGAACGUCGUGAGACAGUUCGGUCCCUAUCUGCCGUGGGCGCUGGAGAACUGAGGGGGGCUGCUCCUAGUACGAGAGGACCGGAGUGGACGCAUCACUGGUGUUCGGGUUGUCAUGCCAAUGGCACUGCCCGGUAGCUAAAUGCGGAAGAGAUAAGUGCUGAAAGCAUCUAAGCACGAAACUUGCCCCGAGAUGAGUUCUCCCUGACCCUUUAAGGGUCCUGAAGGAACGUUGAAGACGACGACGUUGAUAGGCCGGGUGUGUAAGCGCAGCGAUGCGUUGAGCUAACCGGUACUAAUGAACCGUGAGGCUUAACCUUACAACGCCGAAG
rnacentral:rRNA from 2 species